AUCAUUAUAACAUUCGCUUGAAUAACAAUUUUAAAUCUGUUCUUCUCACUUUAAUAACUGAUACUUCCUCUUUCUGAGGACUAUCUAUUCAACUGAUGUUUGGACUAGCAGCUUGCUCCAUCCACUGCCUGUUAUUGCAGUACUCAACCUCCAGGAACAGUGGCCCUCCC
rnacentral:snRNA from 1 species